rnacentral:rRNA from 1 species
CCCACCCGUGUCUAUCGUACCUUGUUGCUUCGGCGGGCCCGCCAUUCGUGGCCGCCGGGGGGCAUUUCGCCCCCGGGCCCGCGCCCGCCGGAGACACCAACACGAACACUGUCUGAAGGUUGCAGUCUGAGUCGAUUUAUUUAAUCGUUAAAACUUUCAACAACGGAUCUCUUGGUUCCGGCAUCGAUGAAGAACGCAGCGAAAUGCGAUAAUUAAUGUGAAUUGCAGAAUUCAGUGAAUCAUCGAGUCUUUGAACGCACAUUGCGCCCCCUGGUAUUCCGGGGGGCAUGCCUGUCCGAGCGUCAUUGCUGCCCUCAAGCACGGCUUGUGUGUUGGGUCGCCGUCCCCUUCCCGGGGGACGGGCCCGAAAGGCAGCGGCGGCACCGCGUCCGGUCCUCGAGCGUAUGGGGCUUUGUCACCCGCUCUGUAGGCCCGGCCGGCGCCUGCCGACCACCAACCUUUUUUUAACCAGGUUGACCUCGGAUCAGGUAGGGAUACCCGCUGAACUUAAGCAUAUCA